rnacentral:rRNA from 1 species
UACGGAGGGUGCUAGCGUUGUUCGGAAUCACUGGGCGUAAAGGGCGUGUAGGCGGUCUGUUAAGUCUGAUGUGAAAUCCCCUCGCUCAACGAGGGAACUGCGUCGGAUACUGGCAGACUUGAGUACCGGAGGGGAGAGUGGAAUUCCUGGUGUAGCGGUGAAAUGCGUAGAUAUCAGGAGGAAUACCGGUGGCGAAAGCGACUCUCGUGGACGGCAACUGACGCUGAGGCACGAAAGCGUGGGGAGCAAACAGG